rnacentral:rRNA from 1 species
UACGUAGGGUGCGAGCGUUGUCCGGAAUUAUUGGGCGUAAAGGGCUCGUAGGCGGUUUGUCGCGUCGGGAGUGAAAACCUCGGGCUUAACUCGGGGCUUGCUUUCGAUACGGGCAGACUGGAGGUAUGCAGGGGAGAACGGAACUCCUGGUGUAGCGGUGAAAUGCGCAGAUAUCAGGAGGAACACCGGUGGCGAAGGCGGUUCUCUGGGCAUGACCUGACGCUGAGGAGCGAAAGUGUGGGGAGCGAACAGG